AUUCAGGCUUAGCUUGGUUGGAUCUCUGACAAGGGAAAGACAGGCCCACAGAGCAGGGUGAGCUCUGGCUGAUUUCCACUCAGUGGAGCCCAUGACGAAAAGGGUGGGGCACAGAGGACUCACAGAAACUGAAGGCUGAGCAAAUUGGAAGCUAUGAGGGAAGACCAGCGUCUGCGUGGUGCUUCUCCCGCCUCCUCCUGCGGAGUUUUCUCCUACUCCCCUGACUCCCACCAAAAGAUUCCUGCCCAAACGUGAAACUCUCUUUCAUGAAAUGACAAAACUCUAAUGGGUUGCCCAGAAAAAUGGAAGAGCCUUUGUAAGGUCGCUGACAGAUUCCGAGUUUGAUAAUUUUCUAGGCACGAACCUGGUAUAAUCAUAAGACAGACAAUAAGUAUGUCCCAAUAGAAGGACUGUACAAAAUACCUGACCAGUACCCUGCAAAACUGUCAAGGCCAUGAAAACAAAGUCUGAAAGACUGGUACCACCACGAAGCAGAGAAUGAUGAAGCAAUUAAAUGUAAUGUGACAUUCUGGAACAGAAAGAUGACUAGGUAGAAAC